CGUUUCCUUCCCCACGAAGGUUUCCAACACACGUGAUCCCCUCUGUCUCUCUUUUCUUUCCUCUCCUCCAACCCCCGCCUCUUCCCUGCUGCUCCGCCGCCGCCUCUUUCUCCGCAAAUACACUGCGUGCCGCCGCCUGUGCCCGUGCCCUCUUCAUCUCCCGUCCCGAGCUCCACCUCCUCCAGCCUCAUAUCCCCUGAUUUUCUCGAUUUGGAUCUCGGGAGCACACGGGAGGGAGUCCCCGAGCGGUGGCAGCGUCAGAUCCCUCCGUCUCGCGGGGCAGGGCCUCCCGUCCGUGCCACGAUGACGCCGGCAUGGAGGCUCGGGCACGGGCAGCCACCGCGGUGUCGGGUGCGCCGGCGAGGUCUCUGGGGACCGCGCAGUAAGGGACUGGCGCAGCUUCUGAUCGUUGGUUCCGGCGAUGCCAAGCCGAAGAUCUGAGUCGCCGAGCCGCAAGUAGCAGCUGGACAUCCAUCCGCCGGCCCCGACAGCGAGCUCCGGCCGUCCACCGCCCCGAGCUCCAUCCGUCCGCUGCCCCCUACCCCAUCCGCCUGCCCCGUAGUCGCAGCCGUGGAUAGCCCCAUCAGCCGCAACCUUCAGCAGCCACGCACAAACCUUCUGAAGACAAAUUCUAGCUCUCAUCUCUACUCUCUCUCAUCCGCUAGGGAUGGAGGGGCUGCCGAAAUCCACCUCGAGGCAGAGGGGUAGGCAGAAGGUGGCGAGCGUUCCACUCGACGGCGAGCCAUGGGUGAUGGCGAUCGCAACGCAAAGUUUUCCGAUCUGCCUGUCUUCAAGGGCGUGGAGCGACGGAGGUUGUCUCCCUCCUUCCACACGGUCGCAACAUCGGGAGAGGAUUCAGCCCCCGUGUGGUUCUGCACCAAGUUUCUGUCAAGAAUGGAAUCUACGAGUUCUGGAACUGGUUUGAUGAUAGGACAUGGUAAGAGCCUCAUAGACAGCUGAAUAAUUUAAUAAUGUGCGGGUUAUUUGUAAAGCGGAAACACAGUUAGAAUACAUGGCUGAAUUAUCUUCUGCUGCUUCUAUUUUAAGUAUCCCAUUGGUCGUGUGAUCAGUGUGACACUAUGUAUACUGGGUUGACUUUGACAGCUGGAAGCAUUUGGUGGUAUGUUACUGAAAAAUGUGCCCGAAAUAUUUGAUCGGUCUACUAAGUUGGUAAACGCUCUGAACAUCCAAGUGUUGGUGGAGACCGUUUGCGUGUUACUGCUCCAAUUAUCUCAGCAAAUGCUUCCCGGGCUACUUACCUCUUGACAAAGGUUGUAUUUCACAGAAGCAUGUAUUCUCAGUUUCUCACAGUAGCCAGAGUGUAUCGCUUUUUUAUCUGGUAAUUCUGUUCUCAUUAAUGUUAAUGUUUCUGUACGAAGCAAAGGGCACUGGUGCUGGAUGGAUGCCAGCAGCUAUUCUGGCAAUGGUAAAUUGCACUUGAUUUAUAGAUGUUUUCAUUUUCAUAUGCCACGGUCUAAGUGGAAAUAUAAAUACUUUUCGAUGAAGCUAGGGAUGCCAUUAAGUAGCUUUAGCUUUACCUAUCUUUGGGUGGGAACAUUACACUCUUCAACAACGAAAGAGAGGGCGAGAGGUGAUCCUUCUGCUCUUUACUUGUGAAUCUCUAUUUCUUACUAGCUCGGGGAACUUGCACCCAACAAAUUAAUGGAUGAUCUUGCAAACCUCAUCAAGUAUAUUAGUAGUUAAACUGUGAAUUUGAAAACAAAAAAAUUGUACAUUUGUUCGUGUUGAAUUUAGAUGUGUUCUUGGGCAAUAAUUGAUGGUAGAUAAUACAUGAUGGGGGAUGGCCUUCAUUGCUACAAUUACUUUUCCUAUCCCUCCUUAGUUUCUUGGAUGUAUAUUAGUUUUUGUUUGCCCCUUUAUUUUUAGGGGAAGUUUUCUUACUGCCACAGCUUGGUUGUUCUAACAUGACAAAAUGUUGGAUUUAAUAUCUUGCUAAAUACUGGAUACUAGCUCAUUUUACUUCAGCUCAUAAGGAAAGGUCUGUAUGCAAAGCGUGUCAUGGGACGGUAUGCUGGAAUAAACACAUAUAGCCAGUUCAUGUUUACCCUUUUCUUUACACAUAUGAUUGGGACUAGCAAAUUCACAUAUACAAAUAUGUUUCUAGAGCAAGGAUGAGAAGCACUCCAUAAACAACCACAAUUGAUGGGAUGACGGAACUUUAGGUCAAACCACACAGGUUUCGCUUGUUGAUAUUUCUGGCAUAUACUUGAUGAAAUAUACAUAAAUAUGUGUUCUUUCGUAUAGGUUUUCACCAGAAUCAAGCAUCAGUUCAAUGGGAACUGGAAUGAUGAAAACACUUGUCGUGCCUCAGAGUGUGGCGCCGAAGAGAAGGACGAGCAGUCAGUGGUGUCUUCGUCUUCGCCGAUUGUGCUGUGCGUAGAUGCGGAAGACCGGCAACCGACGGCAAUAUGUUCAUGUGGCUUCAAGCAUAGGUUAUUCAUGGAGAUAUGCCACAAUUGCCACCUGAGGCCAUUAUGAAUUGUGGUGGGAUGGCACAAACAAGAAGAGAUGGUAUCAGGUGACUUAGUGAUAGUUUUGCUUUGGGAGUAUUAAGAAGAGUGACACGUAUUGUGGUUAAAGUCCGCAAAGAUAUGUUAGCUUUUAUUUUGAAUUGAUGGUUGUGCUCUGGCAUUCACCUUGUAACACUUUAUAGAACUUCUGGUUUGCUCUGUUUGCUAUGCUAUGCUAUAUGCCUGAACAUUUUAAUGAUGUAUUUCUGUUAA